AAAAAUGCAAAGCCCUUAUCCAAUUUUCCAAAACCCUGAGCUCCCCCUCACUUCCCCUCUCGGGUCUUACUUACACAGCGGGUUGAGCCAAAGAGCUCCAAACUUUAAAUUCCCAGCAACGAUUCAUACCUUCAUCUAUACCCAGAAUUCAGCAGCUGAACCAGCUCAAUAACUCCCUUUUCAAAUCUUGCCAUAUAGCGAUUUUGGUGAUAUUUAUGCUGCGGUUAAAGUGAAAUGGCAUCUAUAUCAGGAACUUGGCUGUAUCAAGAUAGAGGAUUGAAA